rnacentral:rRNA from 1 species
GAUGAACGCUAGCGGCAGGCUUAACACAUGCAAGUCGAGGGGUAACAGGAGAGCUCGCUCUCGCUGACGACCGGCGCACGGGUGCGUAACGCGUAUGCAACCUACCCGUAACUCGAGAAUAGCCCAUAGAAAUGUGGAUUAAUGCUCGAUAAUAUUUUAAAGAGGCAUCUCUUUAAUCUUAAAGUUCCGACGGUUACGGAUGGGCAUGCGUAGCAUUAGCUUGACGGUGAGGUAACGGCUCACCGUAUUGGCCAUGAUGCUUAGGGGGUCUUAAAGGAUGAUCCCCCACACUGGUACUGAGACACGGACCAGACUCCUACGGGAGGCAGCAGUGAGGAAUAUUGGGCAAUGGACGAAAGUCUGACCCAGCCAUGCCGCGUGCAGGAUGACAGCCCUACGGGUUGUAAACUGCUUUUAUACGGGAAGAAACCUCUCUACGUGUAGAGAGCUGACGGUACCGUAUGAAUAAGCAUCGGCUAACUCCGUGCCAGCAGCCGCGGUAAUACGGAGGAUGCAAGCGUUAUCCGGAUUUAUUAGGUUUAAAGGGUGCGCAGGCGGAGAUGUAAGUCAUCGGUGAAAUCCUACAGCUUAACUGUAGAACUGCCGGUGAUACUGUUUCUCUUGAGUAUAGUUGAGGUAGGCGGAAUGUGUAGUGUAGCGGUGAAAUGCAUAGAUAUUACACAGAACACCGAUUGCGAAGGCAGCUUACUAAACUAUUACUGACGCUCAUGCACGAAAGCGUGGGGAGCGAACAGGAUUAGAUACCCUGGUAGUCCACGCCGUAAACGAUGAUCACUAGCUGUGUGCGAUAUACUGUACGUGACUGAGCGAAAGCAUUAAGUGAUCCACCUGGGGAGUACGUCGGCAACGAUGAAACUCAAAGGAAUUGACGGGGGCCCGCACAAGCGGAGGAACAUGUGGUUUAAUUCGAUGAUACGCGAGGAACCUUACCCGGGUUUAAAUGCAGAACGAAAGACCGAGAAAUCGGUCCCUCUUCGGACGGACUGCAAGGUGCUGCAUGGCUGUCGUCAGCUCGUGCCGUGAGGUGUCGGGUUAAGUCCCAUAACGAGCGCAACCCCUAUCAUUAGUUGCUAACAGGU